UAAAAAUUGUAAAUACCUC
rnacentral:miRNA from 1 species